rnacentral:tRNA from 1 species
GCGCCCGUAGCUCAGUUGGAUAGAGCAUCGGAUUUCUAAUCCGGCGGUCGCGCGUUCGAAUCGCGCCGGGCGCACCA